AAGCGCUUGUGACCAGACUUGGGCCUGCCAAAUCAGCCGGCGUUCUCGCCGGUGCACUUUGGCUGGCGCAGGCCAGCAUCGGUUCCCGUCAGGGGGAUAAAGGCGCCGGGAAUGUGGCCCCUCCGGGGGUGUUAUAGACCGGCGUGCAAUGCUCUUGCGGGGACCGAGGUCCGCACGCAGUAAGGAUGCUGGCGUAAUGGUCACCAGCGA
rnacentral:rRNA from 1 species